rnacentral:rRNA from 1 species
GGGGAAUAUUGGACAAUGGGCGAAAGCCUGAUCCAGCCAUGCCGCGUGUGUGAAGAAGGUCUUCGGAUUGUAAAGCACUUUAAGUUGGGAGGAAGGGCAGUAAAUUAAUACUUUGCUGUUUUGACGUUACCGACAGAAUAAGCACCGGCUAACUCUGUGCCAGCAGCCGCGGUAAUACAGAGGGUGCAAGCGUUAAUCGGAAUUACUGGGCGUAAAGCGCGCGUAGGUGGUUCGUUAAGUUGGAUGUGAAAUCCCCGGGCUCAACCUGGGAACUGCAUUCAAAACUGACGAGCUAGAGUAUGGUAGAGGGUGGUGGAAUUUCCUGUGUAGCGGUGAAAUGCGUAGAUAUAGGAAGGAACACCAGUGGCGAAGGCGACCACCUGGACUGAUACUGACACUGAGGUGCGAAAGCGUGGGGAGCAAAAGCAGGAUUAGAUACCCU